UUGGCUUUUCACAGAACAAUCAUACGAGAAAGAAACACCAGCACAACUUUUAACGUGCAUAUCACUUGUAUGCUCUUUGUUUUUUUAUUUGUCUUCUCAAUACCUAAAAUUCCGAUUACAUGUUAAUAUAUAUAUAUAUACUCCAAAUGAACUGACAAAAAAAAAAACAAAGAGCAUACACUCACAAUUCUAUUCCAGUGUUCAUUUGUCAGUCCAAAUUCUGGGAAGUCCUCGAGAAUACUUUCCAAAUUCCACCACAAUCAACUUCAUCCAAAAGAAUCAACAGGGUAAUUGCAAGGACAAGCAGAUAACAACUGCUUUUUCUUGCCACUCACAUCUCAGUGUGAUUGGAAGAAGUAAAAUAAGAAGACAGGAAGAAAGCAUUAAUUACUAACACAAGCUUCCAUGUCAUCUGCUUUAUCAACCUUUCACAAAGCCAAAAGAAAAAUGCUUCAGCUAUAUUCUCUCCUAACUCACUUGCUGUUCUGACUACCCUACAGAUCAUUUAACAUGGAAUAAACAAUUACUAUAGACCUGACAGCCUCCAACAUGGUUAAACUAUUGUCAAUGGAGACGAAUUCAGUUUUAAUAGGAUGUGGAAACCUUGUCCUACUAACUUCCAAACUUCCAUCUUCACUUAUAAUUUCAGAAUUUCAGUCUUAACACUAAUCAAGCUAAAGGACAAGGCAGGCAGGCCAAAAAAAAGCCUUUAUAAGACUCAUCCAUUCUUCCAGAGGGGGGCAUUGAUCUACCAAAAUAAGUCACUCUAGAAAAUACGACACGGAAGAAAAUAGAGAAUGGGAGGCUAAAACAAAAAUCUCCACCUACUCAACCAAAAAUGAUGAUACUACUACCCAGUUCCACUGACAAAAUAGACUCAUUUCACCUAAUUUAACCCAAAAAGGAGAAACAAAAUAUGAAAAAGAAAAAAAAAAAAAAAAAGGUAUGCAUGCAAGUCAACCACAGUAGGAUACCACAGGCGUACACACCCAUGGUUUAAGUAUCUAAAAUUUACACCCAAGAAAAGAAACUUCAAUUUAAAUAUGGUUUUCUUAAUACAGGAAGCCGUGGUUCCUGUUGAUAAUCAUAUCCUUCAAGACAUCCGGAACACCAAGUGCUAGUAACUUCACUUGCCACCCAAGGAGGGGAACUGCCCUGGAUCUUCAAUGGAGGGUGCUGGUGCAUUGCUNNNNN
rnacentral:lncRNA from 1 species